AAAAUAAAUCUUAGACCCAUUUGAGAAUUAUCAAUUCGGAUGAACGGUUGAUUGUUAACUUUUGAAUUGUCCAGAGUGGACAGUUUGGGAUUGUAAAAUCAUUCUUGUAAACUAUUCGACUAUAUAUGUUAGUGUCCGACAUAAUGAUUUUGACAUUCCAUCCAAUGUUCA